rnacentral:rRNA from 1 species
GACGAACGCUGGCGGCGUGCUUAACACAUGCAAGUCGAACGGAAAGGCCCUGCUUUUGUGGGGUGCUCGAGUGGCGAACGGGUGAGCAACACGUGAGUAACCUGCCCUUGACUUUGGGAUAACUUCAGGAAACUGGGGCUAAUACCGGAUAGGAGCUCCUGCUGCAUGGUGGGGGUUGGAAAGUUUCGGCGGUUGGGGAUGGACUCGCGGCUUAUCAGCUUGUUGGUGGGGUAGUGGCUUACCAAGGCUUUGACGGGUAGCCGGCCUGAGAGGGUGACCGGCGACAUUGGGACUGAGAGACGGCGCAGACUGGUACGGUAGGCAGCAGUGGAGAAUAUUGCACAAUGGGCGGAAGCCUGAUGCAGCAACGCCGCGUGCGGGAUGACGGCCUUCGGGUUGUAAACCGCUUUCGCCUGUGACGAAGCGUGUGUGACGGUAAUGGGUAAAGAAGCACCGGCUAACUACGUG